CGCAUGAAUGGUUGUCAAUCACGAAUCUGAUUUUUCAAGCCUUCGUUGUCACGAAAAGCACUUUCUCUGGGAUUUUUAAAAUUGAAUUAUCUCCGCAGUUUUCACCGGCUGUUUCACAGCAAGUCCAUGUCUUGGAAAGAUUGCUUCUGAGUCAGACAUUCAAACUCAUAGACGUUGAGAAAAGAAAAAGCUAGCAUCAUCACAUAAUAUUAUAAUGCAUAUUGGCAUAUCAAAAUCAAUAUAAUAAAUAAUACAAUAAUAAAAAGUUCCCUUUGUAUUGUACUAUAUAACAAUGUUUUCUACUCUUUAUUUGGACGUUUCUCGAUGAUUUCAUCUCUCCUCUGCAGCUUUACAGGAACUUAAGCAAAGGGAGCCUCUUACUCUCAGCAGAGAUUUCAAUCUCUUGGCUUGGACCCUGAUCCUGAUCCUGAUGCACCAACCAAU